rnacentral:ncRNA from 1 species
GCCCGAUAAACGCAAACCACAUCGUAAGAGUGGGACGCAAAGCCACUGACCAGAAAUUUCUCAAACAGGGAAAGAUCAGGCAGCAGGGCUACCGAA